GAUGAACGCUGGCGGCGUGCCUAAUACAUGCAAGUCGAGCGAACCACUUCGGUGGUGAGCGGCGAACGGGUGAGUAACACGUAGGUGAUCUGCCCAUCAGACGGGGACAACGAUUGGAAACGAUCGCUAAUACCGGAUAGGACGAAAGUUUAAAGGUGCUUCUGGCACCGCUGAUGGAUGAGCCUGCGGCGCAUUAGCUAGUUGGUAGGGUAAAGGCCUACCAAGGCGACGAUGCGUAGCCGACCUGAGAGGGUGAACGGCCAUACUGGGACUGAGACACGGCCCAGACUCCUACGGGAGGCAGCAGUAGGGAAUCUUCGGCAAUGGGCGAAAGCCUGACCGAGCAACGCCGCGUGAAUGAUGAAGGCCUUCGGGUUGUAAAAUUCUGUUAGAAGGGAAGAACGACUUUAGUAGGAAAUGGCUAGAGUGUGACGGUACCUUAUGAGAAAGCCACGGCUAACUACGUGCCAGCAGCCGCGGUAA
rnacentral:rRNA from 1 species